UGGGGAAUAUUGGACAAUGGGGGCAACCCUGAUCCAGCCAUGCCGCGUGUGUGAAGAAGGCCUUUUGGUUGUAAAGCACUUUAAGCAGGGAGGAGAGGCUAAUGGUUAAUACCCAUUAGAUUAGACGUUACCUGCAGAAUAAGCACCGGCUAACUCUGUGCCAGCAGCCGCGGUAAUACAGAGGGUGCGAGCGUUAAUCGGAAUUACUGGGCGUAAAGCGAGUGUAGGUGGCUCAUUAAGUCACAUGUGAAAUCCCCGGGCUUAACCUGGGAACUGCAUGUGAUACUGGUGGUGCUAGAAUAUGUGAGAGGGAAGUAGAAUUCCAGGUGUAGCGGUGAAAUGCGUAGAGAUCUGGAGGAAUACCGAUGGCGAAGGCAGCUUCCUGGCAUAAUAUUGACACUGAGAUUCGAAAGCGUGGGUAGCAAACAGGAUUAGAUACCCUGGUAGUCCACGCCGUAAAACGAUGUCUACUAGCCGUUGGGGUCCUUGAGACUUUAGUGGCGCAGUUAACGCGAUAAGUAGACCGCCUGGGGAGUACGGCCGCAAGGUUAAAAACUUAAAGGAAUUGACGGGGUCAUAGCUGUUUCCU
rnacentral:rRNA from 1 species